UGGGGAAUAUUGCACAAUGGGCGCAAGCCUGAUGCAGCCAUGCCGCGUGUGUGAAGAAGGCCUUCGGGUUGUAAAGCACUUUCAGCGGGGAGGAAGGCGUUAAGGUUAAUAACCUUGGCGAUUGACGUUACCCGCAGAAGAAGCACCGGCUAACUCCGUGCCAGCAGCCGCGGUAAUACGGAGGGUGCAAGCGUUAAUCGGAAUUACUGGGCGUAAAGCGCACGCAGGCGGUCUGUCAAGUCGGAUGUGAAAUCCCCGGGCUCAACCUGGGAACUGCAUUCGAUACUGGCAAGCUUGAGUCUCGUAGAGGGGGGUAGAAUUCCAGGUGUAGCGGUGAAAUGCGUAGAGAUCUGGAGGAAUACCGGUGGCGAAGGCGGCCCCCUGGACGAAGACUGACGCUCAGGUGCGAAAGCGUGGGGAGCAAACAGG
rnacentral:rRNA from 1 species